ACACACAUAUAUGCACCAAAUAUAAUUUUGUUAUUUUGUGCUUAGGUUUAACUGUAUUACAAUUAUAACACAUACAGCAUUUUAGGCUUUUAAAUUGAAAUGCACUGCAAAAAACUAAUCUGAAUGAAAAAGUGACAUGGCAGGGCAAGGGGAGAUAUCCAAAUUCCUGGGUUCAAACCCUGCUCUGGUCACUGGCAGCCUUCCGUAUGUUCUUUCUGUACCCAUUUGGGUUUUAGAUAGAUAGAUACUUUAUUAAUUCCAAGGGGAAAUUCACAUACUCCAGCAGCAGCAUAUUGAUAAAAACAAAAUUAAAGAGUGAUAAAAACGCAGGUGUAACAGACAAUAACUUUGUAUAAUGUUAACGUUUACCCCCCCAUCGUGUGAAACGUUUUCUCCAAAGUAGGAAGGAAGAAAGAAAGAAGAAGAAUGAAUGGAUGGAGUCAGCAGCCAUACCACAUGCACUUCAGAAGAGUUGAAGCUAAGCAUGUUCAGAUCUGGCCAGUAUUUGGAUGGGAGACCAUCUACGAAAAGCUUGAUUUGUUGCCGGGAGAAGUGUUGGUGAGGUGAGCAGGUGGCACUUAUGCGGAGGUCUAAUUGUGGAUCCCAGUACAGUGAUGGGGACACUUUGCUGUAAAAAUGGCGUCAUUCUUCAGGUGAGACGCAAAACUGAAAUCCUGCCUCUCUGUGGUCAUAAAAGAUCCCAUCUUAAAAAGUAUGGUGUAUCCCUAUGUCCAGACUACAUUGCCCACCACAGUUCUAGUCAUUCUGUCCCAUCCCAUCUCUAAUUGGCUGUCUCUCUCAACUUCACCACCUAACAGGUAAUGUGAGCGUAAUGAUGCAAAAGUAUCUGCCAUCGUAUUACCCAGGUGGAUGCUACACAUCAGUGGUGGUUGAAGUGGCUCCCCACUCACUGAGGCACUCUGAUUAGCGAGAAAAGUGCUAUAUAAAUGUAAUUAAUGAAUUAAUUGUAGACAGAGGUAAGCUAAUGAUACGAUAGAUAGACAGAAGUUCAUUCCAGAGGAGGAAAAAAGAAAACAUUCAUGUUAAACUACCUGGCACAUGUAAAGUGGCUCAGUACUGUAUGUGUGUGAAGUGCCCUGUAAUGGACUGGCAUCCUGUCCCGGGUUGGUUGCUGCCUGGCACCUGAUAAUGUCAGUAUAGAUACCAACUCCACCUGACCCCGAGAUUAAGCCCAUUUGCAAAUGGGCAUGUAGAGAUGAUUGGUGGGCCUGCGGCCAAGGAUGGUGCCUGCCUUGCACAGAAAUGCUGCUGGACUUAGCUCCCACUUCAAAAAACCCUGUAAUAGAGUUAAUGGCCCAGACAAUGGAUGACCCAUCUAAUGCUUCAAUAUGCACUGGCCGUGUAAUUCUUGGUAGUCAACCUUCCAUUGCAUGUAGCACCAUUCUCAGUGAGAAGUUGCACAAUGCAUUUUGGAAAUCAUCCUUCCCAAACAUCAGUUUAGCAGGUUGUCCUGGUCACGCAGUAUAGUAGAGAUGGAGUCUUUGAUGACCACCACCAUUGAUUUGAAUGAUGUCACACCAAAGUAGUUCAGAGAUUAAAAACACAGCAUUUAAAAGUAGACAAAACAAAGAAAAAAGAAUGCUGAAUAUUUACAGGAUGAAGAAAUGGGAACUCAUAAAUAUAAGUGAGCAUAUCAGAAAUAAAAAGUGAAGUAUUCAUAAACGUUUGCACCUUGCAUUUUUCUGAUGGGCCGGGGGAUGCUUUUCCAGAAGUCUCCUUCACUUUAUACAAGCAGUCGCAGCCACUGCCCAGUGUUGAGGGGCAGCAGGCUUUCUAGGUUUGUAUGCACAUUUAUCUCUUUGCUGUUUCAUUGCUCUCCCUUUGAAUAAAAUAAAAGUAACUAGGUGUAUUACAAAGAGAUCCGGGGCACAGUGGUGCACUGCCACCUCACAGCACCUGAACAGCCACUCAACUCUCUGUUGUGGUGCCACCUGCGCCAUAUGAAGGAUGGUCUUGCCAUCCACAGUAAACCCCUGCUUUAACAAUAGCAAAAGCAUCAAAUCUCUGUGAACCAGAAAGGAGAAAAAAAAAAAAAAAGGACAGACCAUUACACUUACAAACUGAAGACAACCAAAAACGACAAAUUAAUGAAAUGAAUCAUCAAAGCCCAACCUGUAACCAGACAUAUAAACACAAUCCAAAACAUAAAUGAUUCUUUAUCCUAGAAAUGGAUAAACAUGAGUGGCACCAGUGUCCUGUUCAGUAGUGCACUGGCUCCUGUGUCUCGUGUAACUGCAGUGCGCCCAGAACUGGUGAAGACAGGAAUGAGGAAAGGGAGGGUGUUGGCUUAUGUGGAAUGUAAGGAACUAAAUAUUUACUAAAAAAAAACAAAAAAUAACACACGUGCAUUCUUGCAGGCUUCUCAGUCUUUGUAUUCCUCAUUCACACUUGAAAGUAGGUGCAUCUCUGCAAAGGGGGCUCUUGGGUGCAGCUGGUGAAGGUACGGCCCUCAUGUUUUCCCAGAUUGAAUUGCAGAGACUCCCACUGUGCCCUCAAUCUGUCUCAUCUCCUCAGGCUGCAACCUUCAGUGAUUAAAGUCUGUGAACCCAACCAAUACUGUGCAGUGCCAGGGUGCUGCCAUUCAAUGGGUACAGGUCAGGUUUGGUUGUUUUUUUUUUUCUUUUUUCAGCACGUGCCUCACACAUGAAGGUGAAGUCCUGUAUCAGGCCAGGCACCCUACUUGAAACAGUGUCUGAGAUGAAACUGUCUGUGAUAAAUUUCAGUCAUUGUUUCUGGUAGAGUGAAUGACUGCCUCUCUGGGAAGAGCUGAAGGAACAAUAAAGCGCAAGAGUGACAGAAGUCCUCACGGGGGUGAUACCAGACUGAUUACGGGAAAUUCCACGUGGUUCUGAGGGCGUCACACUUCCGGUUCCGACCGUGAUGACAUCACUUCCUGUCCUCUUUUAAAACUGCCAUCUUUGCCUCAUCAAGACAGUUCUGUUCUGGACUCAAAUCUGUACUCAACUAUACACAACACUGCAGCCAGGAAACAAUAAACGGGUGGCUGCCCCAACUCUU